GCGCCCGUACGCGACCUGGUUAGCGGUGGUCUUUAGGUGGCCACGUAUGUCGGUUCGAAUCCGACCGGGCGUACCA
rnacentral:tRNA from 1 species